UUUUCUUUCUUUCUCUUUCUUUCUUCUUCCCUAUUCGUCUUCUCCUCCUCUCUGUCGAUUCAUCUUCUGCGAUUCGAGAUUAAAUCUCUCGAGAAUAGUUCUUUUAAAGCUUGUGGUUGUUGAAUCUAGGGAGUUGGUAUUAGUGUUGUGGCUGAUUAAGCUUAGGCGGAGAAAAACUUGAUGCUGUUGUAGAUCGAAGUUAGGGUUUCUGAAAGAUGAAGUUUGAUUGAAGAAUUAUAUGGAAUUAAGUAUGAAAUCAACUAAUUGAAGGUGGGUUUUGUGCAUCGAGAGCAAAGAAGAAGAGUUGGUGUUCAAUUCUCGAUUUAUAGGGAAGAAAAGUUAGUCGUUAUUAACAACGAUCGACUCAAAGGAUUAACCAGUGGAUUGAGAAUCUUGAGGUAGGCGAGGCUUGUCUUCAGAACAGUUAAAUGAUCCAAAAGAAGUGAAACAACACUUAAUUAUGCAAUAAAAGAAGAUAGCUACAAGUGGAGAAGGGCCAAAGACCAAAUUGAACUCAUUUUGUAGAGAACGAGAAGACGAAGGCAAUGGCGCAAGAACGGAGUCAUUUCGACAUCGUAUGAAGAAUUUAUGGGCGAAAGAAGAAUGAAGCUGGAACUAAACUGUCAGUCUUCCAGGAAUGACAAGUGAAUGAAGAUAGCUAAGGGACACCCUCCUGUUAAGGGGCAGUCAUCUUUCAAAGAAACUGCUAAAAGCAGUCACGUCUUUUACAAAAAGGGAAGCCAGAAUUCAAAUAUUACUGAAGACCUCUACCUUAUUACUCAGGGCACUCCUUCUUCCCUAUUGGUAAACAAAACACAUGGAAUGGCAGUCAGAACUUGAUGAUCAAGAUAAUGGUGGAUUUUGAAUAAGAGAUAUUCGAGUUUCUGAGAGCAUCAUUUGGUUUCUGAAGGUGAGACAAAGCUUGGGUAAGUGACUGAUUUCCAUAAAUCAGUGGUGAUCGAGUUUGGGGAGAAAUCAGGCGAGACAAUAAUGAUGAACUGCUGUCAGGGACGGAGGAAGUAAGAGACAAAUGGGGUCCGUCGACCCCACUGAUUUUUGAAAUUUGGUUAGAUUAGGCUUGGUUUGUUCGUAAAUAUUGCAUCCUGUGGGGUAAAUAUGAUUGAAAAAUUGAGAUUAUAAUGGGGUCAAACAAUCUUUUGUUGCUA